GAUAAGCUCGGUCCCUUGUAGGUGAAGAUGUUAUGGGUGUUGGAGCCAUCGAACGCGUUCGGUGAUUGAAACAGAAGCUUGGUAGUGGGAGUGGCCCUAGGCCAGGAUCCAGAGCAGGGAUCGAUUACUAUCUCUCUCAAUCGCUCUCCCAUGGAUUUCAGAAUACGCUUGCGGUAUGGAUAUGGUCUACGAAAGACGACCGUGAGAUGGUGUUACAGGCCGGAGAAUGGUCUUGGUGCAGUAAAUAUCUUUGGCCACUGUAGCAAAUCAUUACGGUGAAGGAGAUGUAUGUGCAACCGCAUCUGCAUAGGCCUCCAGUUUUGGUCAGGUUACAUGGUAUGAUGCUUGAAGAUUUGCGGAAUGGUAUUGUGGAUGAGGUACUGUGAGCAUGUUGCCAUUUGCUUUGAAAGAGUUUGUCCAUAUCAAAGAAGGGUUUCAAUUGUGGAGAAGAAAUUUUUCUAUUUCUGGAUGUAUUGGGAAUUUUUAGUUGGUGAAGUUGUUGUAUGAUGCAUUUUUUAAUAUAGUAUACGACACAUGAAAUGUAAAGGUGCCAAAUACUAGUAUUUGCUAGUAUUUGGCACAUAUUUUUUUAAUCCAGCUUAAUGAUUUUGGCAUUGAUAUCAGUGGAAUUCCUAAGCCACUGAUAUUUGGAUCA